rnacentral:rRNA from 1 species
UAGUCCGGAUUGGAGUCUGCAACUCGACUCCAUGAAGUCGGAAUCGCUAGUAAUCGUGAAUCAGAAUGUCACGGUGAAUACGUUCCCGGGCCUUGUACACACCGCCCGUCACACCAUGGGAGUGGGCUGCAAAAGAAGUGGGUAGUUUAACCUUUCGGGGAGGACGCUCACCACUUUGUGGUUCAUGACUGGGGUGAAGUCGUAACAAGGUAGCCCUAGGGGAACCUGGGGCUGGAUCACCUCCUUAUACGAAGAUAC